GAUGAACGCUGACAGAAUGCUUAACACAUGCAAGUCAACUGUGGCGGACGGGUGAGUAACGCGUAAAGAACUUGCCUCACAGAUAGGGACAACGUUUGGAAACGAAUGCUACUACCUGAUACUGUGAGAGAGCUUUGCGUCCCAUUAGCUAGUUGGAGAGGUAACGGCUCACGAAGGCGAUGCUGGGUAGCCGGCCUGAGAGGGUGAUCGGCCACAAAGGGACGGAGACGCGGCCCUUACUGCUUCGGGAGGCAGCAGUGGAGAAUAGUGGACAAUGGACCACAGUCUGAUGCAGCAAUUCUGUUUGUACAAUGAAGUUUUCGGAAUGUAAAGUGCUUUCAGUUGAGAAGCAGUACCAACAGAAGAAGUGACGGCUAAAUCCGUGCCAGCAGCCGCGGUAAUAC
rnacentral:rRNA from 1 species